AGGCAGUGGUCCCUUUUCACAGACAAGGAGGAGCAGCCACCAUCCCUGCAGUUCCACCCCCUCCCACCGAGGACAAAAAAGCAAAGAAAACCUUCAUCCAAGAGUGCUGUGGACCCAGCAGGCUGGCUGUUUUCACGAUGUGGAACACGUCAAUGAUGUUCUGCUGCUGGAUCAUCUCACACACGCUGCAGAUGGCACAGAAGGUCCCGCUGCGGCCUCCCCCAUUUCUAAACACAGAGGGAAGGAUGCGGAAUAUUCUGUGGAUGAUGUCCUCGUCGAUGUCUGCGGAGACGAACUCCACCUGGAUGGGCCCAUAGCACCCGGAGGUCUUCUCAG